ensembl:snRNA U6 U6 spliceosomal RNA
GCACUCACUUUGGCAGUACAUAUACUAAAAUUAGACUUAUAGAGAAGAUUAGCAUGGCCCCUAUGCAAGGAUGACAUGCCAAUUUGUGAAGAGUUCUCUAUUUUU